AUGAAUACUAUGUGAUGGAACUGUCGUGGGCUUGGCGACCCUGCGACGGUACGAAAGUUGUGCGACCUUGCACAAGAGUGUGUGCCGAUGAUUUUAUGCGUGGUGGAAACACAAAUUGUAAAAUAUCACGUGGAAAGAUUGGCUAGUACUUUGGGGUUUGACAAAGCGUAUGGGGUUGGAAGCUCAAGGAGAAGUGGUGGUCUUUGCAUAUAUUGA
rnacentral:rRNA from 1 species